rnacentral:lncRNA from 1 species
CCACCUUCCCAGAUGGGAGGACAUGGAAGCUGGACCUGGAAGGAAGGGGCAAGAGCUGAGGGAAAUCCAAUCUAAGCAGAAGGAACUUCUCGUGGAAAAGCGUAUCUUUACUAGAAGCAUGCUGAGCUUCCAGAUUCAGCAGAGCUCCUCUUAGCUGUCUGCCAGACAGUGUUGGGGGCAGCUGGAAGUGUGUGAAAGGGGUCUCCCAUGGCACACCAAGAAAUAAGACCUUCUCCAUUGGAGAGUGGGGGGCCACGGAGGUUUUGUUCACCUUAGAAACUUCACACUGCAGCAAUGAGGGGGAGAGCAAGGUGGACAGAGCUGCUGUGUCUUGGGGAGCCCAAGUAUAGCUCUCCUGAAUGCCAAGGUCUACAUGCAGGGAGAAGCUUUACCAAUCAAGUGGUCCCUCAAGUCUAAACAAGUGGCACCGUGGCAGAAGUUACUGACAAAGUAGCAGGGGCGGCUCCUGGGCGGGUGCAGGGACAGUGUGCAGCUCUCACAUCAGUGUGGGAGGUCAUCGUACCUGCUUUUCCAGAUCACCCAUCAAGCCAGAAGAAGGCCCCAUGUUGGACUGCAGCUCUGAUAAGUGUGCCAGUCAUUGGGAUUAUGAACCAUAAUGCCCAUCAUCAGUACACAGUGGGGUUGAACCAGCAGCAGCAGCACUUUCCUUUUGUGAUCAAAGUGCCCCGGAUGAACACGGCCAUAUCUGAUAUAAAUUCAGUGUUGAUGUCUCAGAGCAUUUAUGAGAGCAACUUAGAGCCAUGAUGAAGAGUGAAGCAGGCAUGGCCGUUAGCAAUAUAAAGUCAUCUCUCUCUCCUACAUUUCAUACCUAUAUUGGCAAUAUAAAGGAAUCUCUCGCUCCUUCCACCCUUCUUCCACCCUCUUCUAUCCCUCUUCCACCCUUGAAAGGAGACAAAGCCAGUUCAUAUUCCAGAUGGGGCCACAGGUAGCACGUUCCUUCCCAGGUUCCUUCCCUGUCAUCACUCUGCCCACUCUUGUGCUCUUUCUAGCUCUAACUGUCACUCAGUUCCAAUUCUGGCUGCCACACGCCUUAGCCACACCAGGCUGCACCAUCUCAGCAGCAGGCUGUGAUAGGAGGACUGGCAGAGGUGGUUUACCUCAAGAGAUUCCUAUUGGAAGAGGAAGGAAAUAAGGAAGAACUGGCAAUAUAUGUAUAGAAUAGGCCUAUCUGUAGUGAUUUAGGAUAGAAUGGGGGAAUUGAAAGGAUAAGGAGGAGAAUUAACCCACCAGCACCUCCGUCAAGCUCUCAACAUUGAUAGAAGAAAGAAAUCACAACGAGGCAAAGACAAAGCCUUGCUUUUUAAGUGAGCCACAGCAGAAUGGACACCUGUCUAACAGAGUAAGAGCUCCAUGGGGAAAAGUCCAACAGCAUCAAGAUAUCCCUGUGAUCAAAACCAGCAAAUCAGCAGAGAUUAAAGUGCGGUCUCGCUCCAGAGAAUAAGAGCUGUGAAAGGAGCCUCGAGAUGUGGGGGCGGCAGACAGAGCCUGCACCUCGUGGAGCAGCGGAGGCAUGAUGGAUCCUUGCUGUGACUGGUGCCUGGACAUCCCUGCCAACCACCUUGGAGAAUGGCACCUUCUGAGUGUGCCUGAACCACUCUUCUCCUUGGCUACCACUCUGAGUACUAUCCCUAGAGACUACUGGCCACACACAUCCACAGUCUCAAUGUCCACAGAAGACAUUGUUUUGCAGCAUGCAAAAACAAUCUGAAAGAUGAUAAAAAGCAAUUUUCAUAAUUAAUAAAUUUCUACCUGCUGAUUAGGAAGUGUUAGAAAUAAAUAAACAAAC